AACGUGUGCUAGGGGUGCCCUUGGGCUGAGAAACAAUUAUACCAUGUUAACCCUUAACCUGAUCUGGAUAAUACCAGCGUAGGGAAGCAAUGUAAAUUCAGA
rnacentral:ncRNA from 2 species